rnacentral:tRNA from 1 species
GGCCAGGUAGCUCAGUUGGUAGAGCAGGGGACUGAAAAUCCCCGUGUCGGCGGUUCAACUCCGUCCCUGGCCA